rnacentral:rRNA from 1 species
AGAUUAAGCCAUGCAUGUCUCAGUGCAAGCCGUCCACUAUAUAACCUUAUAGUACACGGUGAAACCGCGAAAGGCUCAUUAAAUCAGUUAUGGUUCCUUAGAUCGUGCACACGUUACUUGGAUAACUGUGGUAAUUCUAGAGCUAAUACAUGCCGACAGAGUUCCGACUAGUGCCGGGCACGCGCGCACACACAUGUGCGUGCGGCUUAACCCGCCGCCUUGGUGUUGUGUGCGUGUCCGGAGUACGGAAGGAACGCUCAUAUUAGAUCAAAACCGGCCAAGCGGGAUCGUUGGUAACGCCUCGUGUGCGCGCACGUAGGUGCCCGCCUGCAACAGCGUCCCCGCGGCGUUCGUUCAGCGGUGUCGCGUACGUGCGUUGCGCACCCGUGCGUCUUCGUUCCCCGUAAGUGGCCCGCGCAAAGACUUGACGACUCUGAAUAAUUUCUAGCUGAUCGCACGGUCGAAACGUUUUAAUCCCGAGCUAUUAGUCUCGAAACAAAAACAGCACCGGCGACGUAUCUUUCAAAUGUCUGCCUUAUCAACUGUCGACGGUAGGUUCGACGCCUACCGUGGUGGUAACGGGUAACGGGGAAUCAGGGUUCGAUUCCGGAGAGGGAGCCUGAGAAACGGCUACCACCUCUACGGAAGGCAGCAGGCGCGCAAAUUACCCACUCCCAGCUCGGGGAGGUAGUGACGAAAAAUAACGAUACGGGACUCAUCCGAGGCCCCGUAAUCGGAAUGAGUCCACUUUAAAACCUUGGUCACACGAGGAUCAAU